rfam:Salmo salar isolate Sally breed double haploid chromosome ssa16, whole genome shotgun sequence.
ACAUUAAUUGAGUGUAAGUCGCUCUGGAUAAGAGCGUCUGCUAAAUGACUAAAA